CUGAUGCGUUGUUGGGUAGGGGAGCGUUCUGUAAGCCUGCGAAGGUGACCUGUGAGGGUUGCUGGAGGUAUCAGAAGUGCGAAUGCUGACAUAAGUAACGAUAAAGCGGGUGAAAAGCCCGCUCGCCGGAAGACCAAGGGUUCCUGUCCAACGUUAAUCGGGGCAGGGUGAGUCGACCCCUAAGGCGAGGCCGAAAGGCGUAGUCGAUGGGAAACGGGUUAAUAUUCCCGUACUUGGUGUUACUGCGAAGGGGGGACGGAGAAGGCUAUGUUGGCCGGGCGACGGUUGUCCCGGUUUAAGCGUGUAGGUGUGUGUUCCAGGUAAAUCCGGUU
rnacentral:rRNA from 1 species